rnacentral:rRNA from 1 species
UACGUAGGGGGCAAGCGUUGUCCGGAAUUAUUGGGCGUAAAGAGCUCGUAGGCGGUUUGUCGCGUCUGCCGUGAAAGUCCGGGGCUCAACUCCGGAUCUGCGGUGGGUACGGGCAGACUAGAGUGAUGUAGGGGAGACUGGAAUUCCUGGUGUAGCGGUGAAAUGCGCAGAUAUCAGGAGGAACACCGAUGGCGAAGGCAGGUCUCUGGGCAUUAACUGACGCUGAGGAGCGAAAGCAUGGGGAGCGAACGGG